rnacentral:rRNA from 1 species
UGCUUGCACCUUUCAAGCGAGUGGCGAACGGGUGAGUAACACGUGGAUAACCUGCCUCAAGGCUGGGGAUAACAUUUGGAAACAGAUGCUAAUACCGAAUAAAACUUAGUAUCGCAUGAUAUCAAGUUAAAAGGCGCUACGGCGUCACCUAGAGAUGGAUCCGCGGUGCAUUAGUUAGUUGGUGGGGUAAAGGCUUACCAAGACGAUGAUGCAUAGCCGAGUUGAGAGACUGAUCGGCCACAUUGGGACUGAGACACGGCCCAAACUCCUACGGGAGGCUGCAGUAGGGAAUCUUCCACAAUGGGCGCAAGCCUGAUGGAGCAACGCCGCGUGUGUGAUGAAGGCUUUCGGGUCGUAAAGCACUGUUGUAUGGGAAGAAAUGCUAAAAUAGGGAAUGAUUUUAGUUUGACGGUACCAUACCAGAAAGGGACGGCUAAAUACGUGCCAGCAGCCGCGGUAAUACGUAUGUCCCGAGCGUUAUCCGGAUUUAUUGGGCGUAAAGCGAGCGCAGACGGUUGAUUAAGUCUGAUGUGAAAGCCCGGAGCUCAACUCCGGAAUGGCAUUGGAAACUGGUUAACUUGAGUGUUGUAGAGGUAAGUGGAACUCCAUGGG